rnacentral:tRNA from 1 species
GAUUGAGUGGCGGAAUUGGUAGACGCUAAAAAAUUCCGAUAGUAGCGAAACGGAAGUGUCAGAUUAAGUUACUGUACAAUGAGAAAAAAGUUCGAGCAGGUUCGAUUCCUGCCUCAAUCA